rnacentral:rRNA from 1 species
AAAUCCCGCAAGGGGCCUAUUGACGAGCCUGCGUCUGAUUAGCUAGUUGGUGAGGUAACGGCCCACCAAGGCUACGAUCAGUAGCUGGUCUGAGAGGAUGAUCAGCCACACUGGAACUGAGACACGGUCCAGACUCCUACGGGAGGCAGCAGUGAGGAAUAUUGCGCAAUGGCCGAAAGGCUGACGCAGCGACGCCGCGUGAAGGAUGAAGUCCGUUAGGAUGUAAACUUCUUUUGCAGGGGAUGAAUGUUCCGGUUUCCGGAAUUGACCGUACCCUGCGAAUAAGGAUCGGCUAACUACGUGCCAGCAGCCGCGGUAAUACGUAGGAUCCGAGCGGUGUCCGGAUUUACUGGGUGUAAAGGGCGUGUAGGUGGGUCUCUAAGUCGGUGGUGAAAGCCUGCAGCUUAACUGCAGAAUUGCCAUCGAUACUGGAGGUCUUGAGUGCGGCAGGGAGAUGGAAUUCAUGGUGUAGCGGUGAAAUGUGUAGAUAUCAUGAAGAACACCGGUAGCGAAGGCGGUCUCCUGGUCCGUAACUGACACUGAGGCGCGAAAGCGUGGGGAGCAAACAGGAUUAGAUACCCUGGUAGUCCACGCCUUAAACGAUGGGUACUCGGUGCUGGGCCGCAAGGCUCAGUGCCAAAGCUAACGCAUUAAGUACCCCACCUGGGGAGUACGAUCGCAAGGUUGAAACUCAAAGGAAUUGACGGGGGCCCGCACAAGCAGUGGAGCAUGUGGUUCAAUUCGAUUCAACGCGAAGAACCUUACCCGGAUUUGAAAGGCCAGCGACAACCGAUGAAAGUCGGUCUUGUAGCAAUACACGCUGGUACAGGUGCUGCAUGUCUGUCGUCAGCUCGUGCCGUGAGGUGUUGGGUUAAGUCCCGCAACGAGCGCAACCCCUGCACUUAGUUGCCAUCAGGUCAAGCUGGGCACUCUAAGUGGACUGCCUACGCAAGUAGUGAGGAAGGUGGGGAUGACGUCAAGUCCUCAUGGCCCUUACAUCCGGGGCCACACACGUGCUACAAUGGCCACUACAAAGGGUUGCAAAGCCGCGAGGCGAAGCUAAUCCCAAAAAAGUGGUCUCAGUUCGGAUUGGAGUCUGCAACACGACUCCAUGAAGCUGGAAUUGCUAGUAAUCGCUGAUCAGCUCGCAGCGGUGAAUACGUUCCCGGGCCUUGUACACACCGCCCGUCAAGCCAUGGAAGCUGGGGGUACCCGAAACCGCUGCGCUAACCGCAAGGGAGCAGGCGACU